rnacentral:rRNA from 1 species
UUCGGGCGAAGAUAAGACGGAUUAGCGGCGGACGGGUGAGUAACACGUGAGUAACCUGCCUUUUACACAGGGAUAGCCUCGGGAAACCGGGAUUAAAACCUGAUGAAACUAUCAAAUCACAUGAUUAAGAAAGUUAAAACUCCGGUGGUAAAAGAUGGACUCGCGUCCCAUUAGCUAGUCGGUGAAGGUAACGGCCCACCAAGGCAACGAUGGGUAGCCGGCCUGAGAGGGUGAACGGCCACAUUGGAACUGAGAAACGGUCCAAACUCCUACGGAGGCAGCAGAC